rnacentral:lncRNA from 1 species
UGAUGGUGUUUAAAAGAAAGGUACAAACAAAACUGUCUUUGGCAAUUUGUAAUAUAAAGCUUUGUUAUCUCAUGUCUUUUUUUAUUGUUUACAAUCAUUAGAGAAUGAGAGUUUAGACAUUGAGAGGUUUUCAAAAUUGUUGAAAUCGAAGAAGAGGAAGUUUAAUAAGAGAGAAUCAAUCAACUUUCACAGCAUUUGUUUUCAUAUCUGUUUCUCCAGCUUAGAUUCAUAUCUUGUAAGUUACUUUGAUUGUUUGAUCAUAUGCAAUCUCUCAGAUACUCUAGAGAACGGCCUUUGAAGAGAGCAAGAUGGACUCAAGACGCAUGUACAUUGUCUCUUAUUUGCUCCUCUUUUUAUCAACAGUGUUACACAAGAAACUGUUCACUGUUGUAGAUCUGCAGAAAUUGGAUGACUUUGAGAAGCUUGAAGCAAAGUCUCAGGUACAACAUAAACAGUUUACAGUUCAAUGGAGCCACACAGUAAAUCACAUUUUCUUUGCAAGGAAGAAAAUGAACAAGGAGAAGAUGGUGAUGAAGUUGGGGAAUCUGAGGGAGAAGAUUCUGAU